rnacentral:rRNA from 1 species
GGAUGCGAUCAUACAAGCACUAAAGCACUGGAUCCCAUCACAACUCCGAAGUUAAGCGUGCCUGGGCGAGAGUAGUACUAGGAUGGGUGACCUCCUGGGAAGUCCUCGUGUUGCAUUCC